CCAGCUCCAAUAGCGUAUAUUAAAGUUGUUGCAGUUAAAAAGCUCGUAGUUGGACAUGAGGUGGGGGGGCGCGGUCGGCCGGAAGGCUGGACUGUGUGCCGUUGCCUGUUGGUGGGGGGUUUUGUGUGAAAGCGUGAAACUUUACCACGGGUUACUGUGAAGAAAUUAGAGUGUUCAAGGCAGGCAAGAGCUUGAAUAGGUCAGCAUGGAAUAACAAGAGGGACAUGGGUCAGCUUGUUGGUUAGGGGGCGCGUGUAAAGAUUGAUAGGGCCAGUUGGGGGCAUUAGUAUUUAGUAGUCAGAGGUGAAAUUCUUGGAUUUACUAAAGACUGACUAGAGCGAAAGCAUUUGCCAAGGAUGUUUUCAUUAAUCAAGAACGAAAGUUAGGGGAUCGAAGACGAUCAGAUACCGUCGUAGUCUUGACUAUAAACGAUGCCGACUAGGGAUUAGCGGGAGUCGAUUGGGACGCCGCUAGGACCAGUAGAGAAAUCAAAGUGUUUGGGUUCUGGGGGGAGUAUGGUCGCAAGGCUGAAACUUAAAGGAAUUGACGGAAGGGCACCACCAGGAGUGGAGCCUGCGGCUUAAUUCGACUCAAC
rnacentral:rRNA from 1 species